GUUUCAGAUUUAGAAGACAUGAAGUGGUGAAUGUUGUGUAUGUCAGUCUGUGCCUGGAGAGCUCUCAGCAUGAUGAAAUGCUACUGCACUGAACUAUGAGGAGCAAACCUUCCCAGAAGAGAAGACUAAAGGGGAAGUUUAUUUCAAGUCUUUGAAAACUUGUUCCCCAUAUCAUCCAACUGAAAGUCUUGCCCAGGGAACUCUACUCCUGGUACCAGACAUGGUUGCUCUUCACUUGCUGGUCAUGUCUGGUUAGGCGGAUUCAACCUUAACCUAGAGUGUCCAUUCUCAACCUGUGGGUUGUGAUCUCAUUGGCAAACCACUACCUGCAAUAACAUAUACAUUAUGAUUCAUGCCCCUGGGACAUGCAGUACCCUGAAGCCUGGCCUGGUGUCACAACAGAACCACGGUGAAUGCUUGCCCGUGUCUUCAGUUAUAGGGUGAUUCAUUCAGCCAAUGUCUCCAGUCCUAGUAAACUUUGCUGCGACCUGCUUGGAGGUUUUCAUUCUGACAUAAUUCUGGAAUUAUCUUUUUCUUCAUAAAGACAGUCAUUACUAUCAGAAAAGAAA
rnacentral:lncRNA from 1 species